AGCAAAUGAUACACAUACAAACACUUAGCCAAAUAAAAUGAAAACAUAAAACCCCACCUUAGUUUUUCCCUUCUUCGCGCCACCCCCAAAUCAGAGAAGACUCUGCGCCAUCACCACUCAUUGUAACAUCCCUAAUUUCUAACCCUAAAUUCCAAAAUCCCCAAAUUAACUCAGAAAAUCCUAAUUUCCCCAGUUUCUGACCCUAACAUCUGCAACCUCACCCUCCUUCAACGUACAAACAAAAGCAGCACUGUAGAGAGAAGAGGGAUCGGGAGAAGAAGAGAAGAGAGGAAAGGCCUGCCCAGCCGUCACCACCGCAGUGCCGCUGCAACUAUUGCCACCUUCAGAGCUGCGGAAAGUCGUCCUCCCUGCCGUCGAAUGCCGCCGUCGUGUCGCACAUGAGAGAGAGAGAGAGACAGAUUCGAGAGGAGCUACCCACGAUCGCUGCCGUCGAAACCAGGCUCGUCGCCGUCACCACCCACGAAGCUGCGAGGAGCCGCUGUCGUGCUCGUGUCGCUGUGCGCCGUCGAGCUGCCCUCACCCUGAGCCGUCGAUCUGUCACCACGGCUACAAGGGCUUGUCGCUGGAGCCACGACUGUCAAUGAGCUUCCGUCGCCACUGCCGUUCAAGCCGCUGCUGCCGUCGAUUUGGAGUUGCUGCGAUUGGAGCCACUAGUGGGGGUGAGUUGCUACUUCCCUGUUGCCGUCCUAAUCAUAUUCAGCGUCCACUGCCCUGAGCUAUUUCUGCCCUUGAGUUCGUUGAGUUCGGAUUCCUUGUGCUACUGUAACUGUCAUUACUGCUGUGGGAACCAACGUUUCUGUUUGGCUGCUGUUGAAGGUCUUCCACCAUCACUGGAGCUGCCCAGAAUCAUCGUGGAAGCUGCCAAGAUAUAUGUCUGAUUUAGAGAUAUUUUGGAGCUAACUAAGGCUUUUAACAUGAAAGAGACUGAGGCAAAGGCAUAUAUAUAUUUAAAAUCCAGACUGAGGCAAAGGCAAAGGCUUUAUGAUUUUGCACUUACAGACUAUGUUUGUUCAAGCUUAGUAUUAUCUGUUUUGAAGCAUGAAAACGAAGCAUUAUCAAAUGCAGAAAAGCGAGCAUCUGAUGAGGUUCAUAGUUUAUCUGAAAGGGUGCAGCGCCUGCAGGCUAGCCUAGGUACCAUACAGAGUGCUAAGGAAGUUCGAGAGGAACAAGUAAAGCUACAAAAUUCUUGAGAGCCAAUUGAAUUUCUCUUUUCAAAGUACCAGAAGAAACAGCAGAGCUACUUGGGAAAUCUGACCUGUAUUUCUUUAGCCCUGAGCAUCCUCCAUUGACCGAACCAGCUCAGAAAGCCCUUGACUGGGCCGGAUGAGAAAUUGAAGUCAGGAUUUUGGGAACUCCAACUGAGGAGCAAUGGCCGGGAGUUACUUUGCUUCGUGAUUGGCAUACCUACCCAAAGUGGGAACCUCAGAACUUGGCGAGGACC